ACUAUUGUUUAUGUGAGCAAAUAAUACCUGCAUACAAUGUAACAAAUAUCUAAGUCUGAACUGAGAUAUACAACGCUGCUGAGCAUUGCUUAGAUACCGCUAUAUACCUCAUUAUUUUCUGACAGAAAAAAAAGAAACGAAAAGUAAUCUUCAUUUACUUCUUAGCAUUUUAUAAAAGUUAUUUAUACUCCGUAAAACUUCAGCAUGGGGUAUUUAUUCCAAAAUUUUUGCACAUCUAAAGAAUCCAUGUCAUGAAUAUCGCUUUUGAGCAAACAUUGUAGAAAAGAAGAAAAACAAGAAUGCCAUUUCUAGUAGGUGAUUCUAUUAUAAUUUCUGCUGAAUAAUCUAUUUCAAAAAUACGCAACUUGCACAUACGUUUCUUACAUAAAAUUUUAAUCGAACAUUCCCGAAAAAAAAAAAGUAAUAAUAAUGACAAUAACAUCGAAAAAUACCUAAGGAAUAAGAACCCAGGUGCAAAUUUCCCCAAGACACCUAAUGAAGGCUGGAGGGUAUAUCAGACGAAACAUUGUGUUAACAAGAAACAAGAUGAGAACAAA